UCUAACUGUGAUUUUUUGUAUUCAAAAUUUCAAGAUUUUAAAAUUUAACUUUUCUAACUUUUUUAUGCAUAUUAUUCAUCUAUUUUACUGUAAAAAUAAAACUCUAAGAGGAAUUUACUACAACUUCAAAGUAUCACGAGCAAGACACAAAUGUCGGAUUUUGAGUUCCACGGUACUGACUCAUUUAUCCACGGUACUGACAUGGUAACUUAAGAUAUUAAACAACAAGUGCAUCAAUUUUCCUCAGUUUGAUCAUAAACAUUAGAAUUUAUAAGGAAUGGACAUGACACGGUACUGACAUGGUAACUUAAGAUAUUAAACAACAAGUGCAUCAAUUUUCCUCAGUUUGAUCAUAAACAUUAGAAUUUAUAAGGAAUGGACAUGACACGGUACUGACAUUCAAGUGAUGUAGUAUAAGUUUUCUUUAAGUGGCAAGUUAUAUUGUAUAAAAAUAAUGUUUAAAUAUCUUAAGAAUUAUUCAAUUAACACAAAAUUUUUAUUAAUUGAUUAUUAAUUAAUGACUAGU